rnacentral:lncRNA from 1 species
UGUAAAUUCCUUUCUUUCUCUCACGUUUUUCUCUUUCUUUUCCUUCUUUCUUCAUUCUUUCUUUUUCCUUUUUGUCCGUAUAGAAUUUUUUUUUUUGGGAUUUGGUUGCGGCAGAACCUCACGUGAAACCCUACACAAACAAAAGUUAAGACANNNNNNNNNNNNNNNNNNNNNNNNNNNNNNNNNNNNNNNNNNNNNNNNNNNNNNNNNNNNNNNNNNNNNNNNNNNNNNNNNNNNNNNNNNNNNNNNNNNNNNNNNNNNNNNNNNNNNNNNNNNNNNNNNNNNNNNNNNNNNNNNNNNNNNNNNNNNNNNNNNNNNNNNNNNNNNNNNNNNNNNNNNNNNNNNNNNNNNNNNNNNNNNNNNNNNNNNNNNNNNNNNNNNNNNNNNNNNNNNNNNNNNNNNNNNNNNNNNNNNNNNNNNNNNNNNNNNNNNNNNNNNNNNNUUUUUUUUUUUUUUUUUUUUUGUAAAGAUGGCAGGGAAAAAGAUUUAUUGUUUAUUGGUCUCAAAUUUUUUUCUAGUAGGAAAUAAAAGCCUAUUGCAAAGGAAAAUACAACUCACUAGUUAUUCUGAAGACAAUCCGACAUUUGCAUAUUGAUUUGAAGUCCAACAAUCUUAAUAUAGUUACGACACCAAGUUGUCCAUUACCAGUAAUGUCAAUCAACCUAGAUCUACCUACCUUUAUAAAUAUCAAUUGAGAUCUACACUUUCUCUAAUGCCAUCACUUGGUUCACACUUUCUUCAUAAAUUAAGGGUAAGGUCUACGUACACGCAAAGACAGACCCUAAAUUUUUAAAGUCGGGUACACUUUUGGAUUCAACCAUAAUCUGUUAUGUAUGUAGGGUGUCCAUAACUAAUAUAUCACUAUUUUCUAAAAUAUACACAUAUAUACAUAGAAUUUUUACACAACUUUACGGAUGCCGGUAAUCCCUAUCGGCAUAAUAUGGGUCCAUUUCUGCGUACACGCUACCCUCCCAGACUUUACUUGUGUGUAAAGAAAGAAAAACAAUGGACUAAAAAGAGAGAAGUUUUAGAAGCUUAAAUUUGAUGACGCUUUGAUCAAUCGUGUAGAAAAUGCAUUGCCAAUCAUUGUCAAUAAGAAGAAGGAUCAGAUGACCAUCUUGCAAUGUUUAGUCUAUUUGCAGCUCUGUCUCUCACUGCAUAAAUACAUUUCGGAUAACAAUGCUACAAUAGUUAUGCCAAGGGCAUCUAGUUGUAGAAGUUUAAUUAUAGUCCCAAGAAAAAGCUUCUCCAUUCUUCUGAUAUCCCCAAAUAGUUAACUGAACUGAGACGUUUUUUGGACAACAUCUACCUAUCCUAUCUUCACGUGCCAUUUCACAUCACUCAAGAGGACAGAUAGAUGAAAAAAACUUUUAAAAUACAAAAGAAAUAUCAAAAGUAUUUCUGCUACAGAAAUAAUAAUAAUAAUAUAUCGUUCCCGUGAGUGUUGGAUAUAGACAGAAAAUAUAAUACUAGUAAGUUUUAUCUGCUUUCCAGGUCUCGCUACUACUAGCUUUGCCACUAGGUCAAGUGGUAACAUAGUACGAGCAGUAGUUUCUCAUUCUCGCUACUACUAGUAUUGCCAUUAGCUAGGUCAAGUGUUGCCACUUCUUUUUUUAAUAAUCAUGAUUUUCGGGUGUCGACUAGUUGUACUCAUCGGGAUCCGCUGUUUCAAUGCGUGUAUUACGAUUAGUUUCACAGAGCCCCGGAGACACGACCGAUUUAUAAUGCCUCCAGUGAUCCUGCGGGGGCUCGAACUGGUGACCUGAAAGACUUUGUCCUCAUAACUUUACCAACCGAACUACCCUCAUAGUUGGUCAAGUGUUGCCACUAGUUUGUUAUUUUCUUGGCUUCAUUUUAUAUUCACACUCUUUCUUAAAUUUCGGGAAUAAUUUAAUGUUAAAUUUUACAUUUUAUUCUUAAUAUCAGGAUUUUAUAGCAAGAAAAAAACUUUCAUAUUUUCAAAUCACAAGUUUUGAAAGUUUUUUUCUAUCUUAGUCAAAUAUUUUUCCAUAAAAUAAAACAAGAGGGAGUGUUAUUCAGGUCUUAACCUAUUAUUAUUAUUAUUAUUAUUAGUAAUACAUUUUCUAAGUUGUUAGUGGGAUGAAAUAAGGAAAGAACAUGACGAACAUAUUGUUUUAUCAGCAAAAGUGGAAGUAAAGUUUCUUCUUUUUAAUUUUUAAAUCUAUUAAUAGAUGGCAAUGGAAUCAAAUAAGGGAGAAGCAGGUCAGAGAAUAGAACAAAAUUUGACCGGUCAACGGGUUAAAGAAGGUACUAUCAUAAAUCCCUUUUACCCAAAAAAAUGGAUUCCUUUUCCAUUGGCAUUAGGUUAGAUUGGCAGUCUUCGAGGGAAAGAUGGACUCUCUUACACACAUGCAGACGCCUUUGUCAAUUUGUACUUCUCCUUUCUUUAUCGACACAAUAUACCCACUCACUACAAAACACACAGAAUUAAUAACUGAAGAAAAAAAAAUAUCAUAUGUUUUAAGGCAAAUUACAUAUUUUGCCUUUGAUAUGGAGGCGUGCAUGGGUAAAAUGUGCGUACACACUGCUCUCCUAUACCUCGCACCUUUAAUAUUUUAUUGGGUUAUUGUUAUUGUCAACUACAAAGAUACAUGAUCACAAGGGUGGUCAGUUGACCAUAUUUUACCGAAAAAUUAUACUGUGUAUAUAGGUAAAAUAUUAUUACAUUUUAAAUGUAUAUAACAUAUAUUGAACAUAAUUUAUUUUCACUUCUUUCAAAUUUGAAUACCUUAGUUUGCUAUAUUCGCAUGUCUUGUUUCGUUGUUACUUACCAUUGGUAAUUCCGUAAUUUGCUAGCAGUACUUCGUUCUUAUUCUUGUCUGCUGUCUUGGAUUUAGUUUCUAAAUAUCUUAUCUUGCUACUACUUGUUAUCAGUACCUCUUUUAUAUUAUCUGUUGUUAUCUCUGAUUCAGUCUUUUAAUUAUUGUUUUGCUAUUGUUUGCUACCAUAGCUCCUCUCACAUUCUUUAGCCGAGGAUCUAUCGAAAACAAUUUCUCUGUCUUUCCAGGAUAAGGGUAAGGCUGCGUACAUCCUAUCCUCCUAGACCCCACUUGUGAUUAUACUGGAUUGUUGUUAUUGUCAAAUUUAAAUAUCGUUAGAAAAAUUUCUAGCUUCGCCAGAGAUCAUUGUCGAUGAGCUGGAGGCUAAACUGUGUAAAACCUUUUACAUACCAAACUGUGCUUAGACACACUAAAAAAAAGGUAUGGUGGGUAAGAGAUAUUCGUGCUUGACAGGUAUAUCAAAGGAUUAGGGGGCUAACUAUGUAUUAUGCCUAUGUUUAAUCAACCAGAAUAACAUAAACAAUAAGCUCUAUAAAUUGUACACUGUGCUUCAAUGAUUGUAGAUAAAGAAAUUUACUCUCAAAUGCAGAUAACACGUGAAGCCAUGAGGGGUGUUCAGUAAUAAAUUUCAUAAGGAAAUAUAAAAUAAAAAUAAAGGCACAUUCUAUUACAGAGCCCCUGACUCAUUUAAUACUAGUAUACUAAGAGACUUUGGAUUCUUAUGUUGCACCAAUUUAAUUAGAGAAAAAACUUAUUUAAGACUCCUUACACUCAUUUUAAUGUAGUCUCGUUACUUGAUUGGUGAAAAGCUCUCUAGAUUGGCCAUGCUGACACUCACCAGGGGCGGUGUUAUAACGAGCUACUGGGCCGAACCCAAUAGCUUUUGUUCAAACUUUAUAUCUGUCUUGAACAUAUAUAAACUACUAAUAUAGAACCUACUAAUUUAUAGAAUCUUAAAUUCAUAAAGUUGAAAUUCUAGCUCCUACUCACACCCACCAUACAGUUUGUGGAGUAGUACUAUUUAUUUCCCAUGCCAAUACAAAAGACCUAUACUUACAACAGUCGCAUAUUGAUAUUAGAGCUGCUACUCUGUUAGAUGCUGCACGGAUAAGCACUCUUGCAAUUAUAUACUAUAUCUCCAGAAUUCAGACAUCAGUCAUUUCUUCUUUUUCUUAUAUCAUUUCAUUUUUCUCUCUCUCUGUGUCUCCUUCUAUUUAUUGUUUCAGGAGUUAAAGGUUUGCCAUUUUAAAAAACACCACCACCAUUUCUCUUCUUUUUUUUAUUCUUUACUUGCCUAGUCCAUGUUGCUUUAAGCAAGCCCCUUGUUCUAUUACUUUUACCUCUCCAUAUGGCAAAGAAGAAGGGAGGUAGUUCAUGGUUGAGUGCAGUUAAGAGGGCAUUCAGGUCACCACCUAAAGAUAAUAACUGUGACAAAAAGGUUAAAAGAGAACAUGAGCUAGAAGAAGAUGAAGAAAAGGUAAUUUUGCUUACUACUACUAUUACUACAACUAAAUUAAUCAUAGUACAUUACUUGUAUAUGGAUUCUUAAUUUUUGUUAACUUAUACAGAAAAGAGAGAAGAGAAGAUUCAGGUCACCAACUAAAGAUAACAGCUGUGACAAAAAGGCUAAAAGAGAACAUGAGUUAGAAGAAGAUGAAGAAAAGGUAAUUUUGCUUACUAUUUCAACAAAAUUAAUCCUAGUGCAUUACUUGUAUAUACACUAUAUGGACUCUUAAUUGGUGUACCAUGUACAGAAAAGAGAGAAGAGAAGGUGGUUGUUCAGAAAACAGUCUCAAAAUGCUCAACAAAAUGAAGGGAAGGUAGUUACUGAUCCAAAGCAUGCAAUUGCAGUGGCCGCAGCAACAGCAGCAGCAGCUGAAGCUGCUGUGGCCACAGCUCAAGCAGCAGUUGAGAUCAUACGGUUGACACGAUCCUCAAAUAAUCCACCUUCCUCAAACAGGCAACACAAUGCUGCUAUACUCAUCCAAACUGCAUUCAGAGGAUAUCUGGUAAGUGAGCUAUUUCAAGGUUAUGGUACAAGUUUUCUUCAGACAAGAGGGGUUGCUAUGAUGGUAAGCAACACCCACUUCCAAUCGAGAGGUUGUGAGUUCGAGUCUCCCCAAGAGCAAGGUGGGAAGUUCUUGGAGGGAAGGAUGCCGGGGGUCUAUUUGGAAACAGCNNNNNNNNNNNNNNNNNNNNNNNNNNNNNNNNNNNNNNNNNNNNNNNNNNNNNNNNNNNNNNNNNNNNNNNNNNNNNNNNNNNNNNNNNNNNNNNNNNNNNNNNNNNCGGGUUUCUAUUUGGAUACAGCCUCUCUACCCUAGGAUAUGGGUAAGGUCUGUGUACACACUACCCUCCCCGGACCUCAUUAAGUGGGAUUAUACGGGGUUAUUGUUGUUGUUGGUACAAGUUUUCUUCAACCAAGAAAAUGAUAUUUUUUUGUUAUAUUAACUCCCUUCUGUCACCAUUAUUUUGUAAUGACACGAUUGUUAUGAUACAAGUUAAGUAAAAAUAUGAAUGGUUUACCAUUUGUUCAGAAACAUGUGAAGAUAUAUAUUGUUGACUCCAUCAUCAUAUUUUGACUUGUGCUAAAGGGCAGCCGUGCACAAGGCAUUCCGAGUUCAAGCAUGGUCUAGGGAAGGGCCACACCUUAAGGGAUGUUAUAUAGAAAGCCUACCUAAUGCAAGCAUUAAUAGCUGGUUCUAUUGCUUGAGCGACAACUGCUCCAAAGCUCUCCUUCCAGAUUUUGACCUGUGCUGAAGAAAAUAAAAAAUUCAGAGAUAGGUGUUUACGGAAAGGUCAAUGUGAUCCUAUAAAAUUUAGUGAUUUUAAAAUUUAAAACCGGAUAGAAUUAGUAAAAAUACCAGUCUUGAAUUUUGAAAGGAGAAAGCAGUCAGGAGUUAGUAGUUACCAUAAGUGCUUAAUUCAGGGUUGACAGUAGCUAGUGUUAGAUUGAGGACCAUAUUGAAUUGAUCACAAGUCAUGCAUUGGAAUGUUAAAUAUUUAUAGAUGUACUGGUUAAUUAUUUAGCUGUCAUGUGAAGCAGUCGAUUGCUUAAUUUGUUGGUGCAGGCUAGGAGGGCACUAAUUGCAUUGAAGGGGAUAGUGAAGCUACAAGCAUUAAUAAGGGGUCAAAACGUCAGGAAGCAAGCAAAGAUGACACUGAAAUGUAUGCAAGCUCUGCUUAGGGUGCAGGCUCGGGUUCGCGAACAGCGUGCUCGCCUUUCACAUGAUGGAGGACGCAGGUCUAUGUUUGCUGAAACCACUAACUUAUGGGACUCUAAAUAUCUUCAUGACAUCCGAGACAGGAAGUCCAGAGUAAGCUCUACUUUCCGCCUUAGGUAGUGUAAUAAACAUAACACUCAGAAGUUAGAACCUCCUAACUAAUCUCUAACAGUAAAUUUUAUGUACUAACUACAGUCUAGAGAUGGAAGCUCCAUUGCUGAUGAUUGGAGGGAUUGCCCGAGAUCGCUUCUAGAGCUGGAAUCAAUGUUACAAGCCAGAAAAGAAGCUGCCUUUAAUAGGGAAAAAUCCCUUGCUCAUGCUUUUACUCAACAGGUUGAACUUUCUGUAUCCAAUAGUUCUUGUGUUAAACAUGAAUCCACAUUCUAUUCUUUCAAGAAGUAAGCACUCAAUUACUUAAGCAUAUAGGUAUGGGAUGAGAUGGAUCUUGGCAGUGAAGAAAGAAAUGAGAGGGAACUAGAAGAGACAGCAAAUUGGCUAGAUGAUUGGAUGUCGACCAAACAAUGGAACACGGUCAGCAGCAGAGGUUCAUUUGACAGAAGAGACUCUAUAAAGACUGUUGAGAUGGACACGGCUAAGUCCUAUUCCAACAUGGUUACGGCCAGCAGCAGAGGUUCAUUUGACAGAAGGGACUCUAUAAAGACUGUUGAGAUGGACACGGCUAAGUCCUAUUCUAACAUGGUUCCAAAUGCUCGAAGAUCACACCACUCAAGUCCACUUCACAGACAAGCUAGUAGUCCUCAUUGUGCUGCUAAUUCUCCCCAUCACCAGAGACUAUCACAUUACAAUUACUCUGCAAUUCAACCCCCAGCCACCCCACCCCCUUGUCAACCAAAACCUCUCCAAAUGCGCCCAACAAGCCCACGUAAAAGCCAAUCAACUGCAAACACUCCAUGCCUACGCUCCACUACCCGUUCAAACAGUAUAAUGUCCCGCUAUAGCACUUCAGGAAAUGAUGCAGCUGCUGCAGUUCCUAAUUAUAUGGCUGCUACUGAGUCUGCAAAGGCUCGGAUUCGUUCACAAAGCACGCCAAAACAAAGGCCGUCUACGCCAGAAAGAGAAAGAGUUGGGUCCGUCAAAAAACGUCUGUCUUACCCAAUUCCUGAGCCACAUUCUCUUAAUGCUACCUAUGGCUAUAGUCAGAACUUGAGAAGUCCUAGCUUCAAAAGUCUUCAAGAUGCCUAUAUGGGGAUGGAACAACAAUCAAACUACUCGUGUUACACCGACAGCCUUGGUGGAGAAAUUUCUCCUUGUUCAACCACUGAUUUGAGAAGGUGGUUAAGAUGAGAAAUCCAGCAAUAGCAAUCAAGUACUGAAUAAGGAUGACAGACACCAAGCCAGCUCUUGUGUGUCCUACUUUCUUUUAUUUAGACCAGAAAAUCAAGGUGUAGGUUAAUGCUAGUUAUCAAUUAAGCAAGAAAUAUCUCGCCAUGGUUUGUAUUUCUUUGUUCAUUUUCUAGUUCAUAGUAGAGGUAAAAUUUUGAAUUUUCUAAUGGUUCAUUUCCCUUAACCUCACUAUCCACAAACGAUUAACACUUUGGAAUUAUAUAUCAAUCAAAAUAAUCAAAUACAUUUCAAUCCCAAACUAAUCAGGACCAACUAUACUCUAUCACUAUCCACAAACAAUUAACACUUUGGGAUUAUAUAUCAAUCAAAAUAAUCAAACACAUUUCAAUCCCAAAGCUAAUCAGGACCAACUAUACUCUAUCGAGCUCAUUUCCUCAUAUACCAAAUAAUUUAUAUUCUAGAAUAAAUUAAUGGUUCUCUAAAAAAUAUAUACGAUUUAAUGGUUUCUAUUGAGAAACCAAUGGACUAGAGAAGGAGAAUAUCACUGUGCGGCCUCAAGUUAUUCCUCAGUGGCGUUAACGAUGUAGGGUAAAGCAAAAUCAAGAAAAUUAGUACGAAGAUCUAGAAUAACAAAUAAUUAGUCGGGGUAGCUAGGUGAAUAUCAUCGUUAUAAAAGAUGCAGAACAACUAACAAUUUCCACUAUUAACGAGAUCAUGGCAACUCUCAACUGUUAAUGUGUGAAGGGAUUGAAGGAACAGUUAAAAUCAGUUGUGAAGUUUCUGUUGUCUUACUUGAGACAUAAUUGACUGCAGCAAGGACAAUCAAUGUUUGCAGACUUUGAAUGUUGACAGAUUU